GAGGUUGGGUAUAGUUGGUAGAGCGCAACCUUGCCAAGGUUGAGGUCGCGAGUUCGAGCCUCGUCGUCCGCU
rnacentral:tRNA from 1 species